UACGUAGGGGGCAAGCGUUGUCCGGAAUCAUUGGGCGUAAAGAGCGUGUAGGCGGCCAGAAAAGUCCGCUGUGAAAACUCGAGGCUCAACUUCGAGCUGUCGGUGGAAACUUUCUGGCUAGAGUCCGGAAGAGGAGAAUGGAAUUCCUGGUGUAGCGGUGAAAUGCGCAGAUAUCAGGAGGAACACCCGUGGCGAAAGCGGCUCUCUGGGACGGUACUGACGCUGAGACGCGAAAGCGUGGGGAGCAAACAGG
rnacentral:rRNA from 1 species